CCCCAGAAUUUACUUUAUUUUUGAACACUUGUAGAUCUGUUUUUCAUGUCUCUCAGAUCUGAUUGCUUAGCACUAAAUCUGUGAGUUCCACCAACCCAAACCAUGGCAUCACCACAAAACCUUUAUAAGGUUCUGCGAACUAUUUAUCUUUGUCCUCCUCUGUUCACUUAUGGUGCAAGGGACAAGGUGUUCAAGAUCAUUUGGUUAAACAGGCCAAGAAUAUUACUGGAAAAUAUAGGGGCGAAUGGGAGAAAAUUGAUGCUCAAUUGUGUAGUCUGUUAUGGAAAUCUAUUGAUUCAAAGUUGAUGCCUUUGUUUCGACCAUUCCAAACUUGCUUCUUAGUUUGGGAAAAGGCUUGUGGGCAAUAUACAAAUGACAUAUCCCGUUUUUAUAAUGUGAUUUCUCUGUUGAUUAACCUUAAAAAGCAGGCCUCGGACAUGUCAACUUGUCUUGGACAGGUUUAAGUGGUUAUGGAGAAUUAAUGAGUUAAUGCUUGGUACUCCAAAUAUUGAAAAGCAAUUAGAGCAGUGUCAGAAGAUGUUUCUAGCUGUUAUACUUGCUGGACUUCCAUUUGAUCUUACUUUAUUGCGAGAUCAAAUUUUCGCCAGCUUUAUUGUUCCCAUUGUGGAUUGACCUACUUGCUCUAUUGUUACGACUAGUAGCACCACCUAUGUCAUCUAGUCAUCUAGUACCACCUGCACAUUCGUUUGUCCUAGCAUCUCAAACUGCAUUACUGACCAUAGAUCGAAAUGGAGGCUGGCAUGGGAAACGACCAAGAUGUGGUUAUUAUAACAAAUUGGGUCAUACCCGUGAUGUGUGCUACUCUACAUGGUAAACCAAAGAAUGCUCAUGUUGCUCAAACUUAAUACAUUGGUAAUCCCACCAAUCAAUUGUUCUCUCUGUCCGAGGUAGGAUACAAUGACUUUCUUCCGUAUCUGGCGAGUAAGCAGACAUCUUCAUCAAUAACUUUUGUUGCCCAAGUUGGUAAUCUUAUUAAUCAUGUUGCUUGUAUCUCACAAUCCACCACACUUGUCCUUGGGUUAUGGUUCUCUGACCAUGGCAGUCGGAGUCGGUCAAGCCAAUUCCUUACCUUUCUUGGCUCUAAAUAAUGCUCUUUUUGUCCUUGGUUGUCCGUUUAGCCUCUUCCAAUAAGUUGUUUGGCUAAGACUUUAUAUUGUUUUGCCUCAUUUUUAGUGACUUCUUUGUCAUACAAGACCUUAGUACAGGAAGGAUGAUUGGCGAAGGGCAUGAGUAAGAUGAACUUUAUUAUCUCAAUUCUCACAAAUCCAUUAUAGUUUGUCAAUCUCAGACUCUCUUGAUUUAACCCAUAGAUGAUUGGGACACCCUAGUUUAUUCAAACUUCAAAAGAUGGUACCUAGCUUGUCCAAAUUGUCUAAGUUGGAUUGUGAGUCAUGUCUAUUGGGGAAGCACACCCAAGCUACUUUUCCACAUUGUCCUAAUAAUCGUGCGUAGUCACUUUGUCAUUUAGUUAUUGUGAUAUUUGUGGUCUUAUUAGAAUCAAUUCUACAUUGGGUUUUGAAGGUUUUGUUACUUCCAUUGAUGAUUGCUCAAGAUUCACUUGGAUGUACUUAAUGGAAGAUCAUUUUGAAAUAUUUUCCAUAUUUCAAACUGUGCUGAAAUAAAAAAACUAGUUUGGUGUUUCUAUUUGCAUUUUUUGUAGUGAUAAUGCACGCAAAUAUUUAUCAUCUCAAUUUAAACUAUUUAUGUAUUUCCAUGGAUAUUUUCAUCAAACUGUCCAUACACUGCACAACAAAUUGGGAUUGCAGGGAGAAAAAAUCGGCAUAUUGUUGAGACUGCAGACACUAUUCUCAUACAAGCAAAUGUUCCAUUGCGAUUUUGCGGGGACACAAUGCUCACCUCUUGUUAUCUGAUUAACUGUAUGCCUUAUUAUGCUAUUCAUAAUAAGGUACCACACUCUGUUUUGUUUCCAAGUCAACCUUAUUCACUCUUCCACCACAUGUCUUUGGGAGCACAUGCUUUGUCCAUAUAGUCACUCCAUAAAAAGACAAAUUCGCUCCCCGUGCUCUUAAAUGUCUUUCUCAAUUAAAUGGUACAUAAGGGAUAUCGAUGCUUCUCACUUGAACUCCAGCGAUACCUUCCUUAUGUUAGCUGAUGUUACUUUUAUUAAGGUCAAACCUACUUUACAUCCCCUUCUACUCAACAAUUAGACAUUUCUGACAUUUUACCAGUUCUAUCUUUUGGUGAUCCACCAUAGUUUGUCCUUCCACUAUUAACCUAUCAGCGUUGUUCGCGCCCAGAUGAUUCACGCCCUCUGUCAUAAUCGUUGUCUGUUGAGAACUUUUUCUUUUAUGACAAGGAAAAACCUGCAGCUGCUACCCUUUGGGUGUGCACAGGGUAAAACCCUCGCUCCUAUGCAGUAGCUUGCAAAUCACAUAGGAGAGGUAACCCGUACCAGGCAAGCCUGGUGCGACGAGCUCGACCCAUAAGCCAAACCCCUUGCUUUCGCUGGUAAGGGGUUUCGAAUUAGAGACCUCCAACAUGGAAGUCCCAAGCUUAAACCACUGGGCCACCCCGAAGGUAAUCCACUUGUCUACAUAGUCCUUCCAUCGCCACUCGAAAAGGUAACCGCUCAACUCGUAACCCUAAUCCUAUCAAUACUUUUUAAGCUAUCAUCUUUUGUCACCAACCAUUCUCCCUUUGUAUCAUCACUAUCAUCUGUGUCCAUUCGUAAGACUACAUAUGAAGCUCUUUCUCAUCCAAGCUGACAUCAAGCUAUGAUGGAAGAGAUGUCUGCCUUACACUCCAGUGGUACUUGGGAGCUUGUUCGGUGGGUAUAUACGGUGGAUAUAUAUGUGGAGGUUUGCCCCGAUGGAUAGAUUGAUUGCCUAAAAGCUCAUUUUUGGUCUUGACUACGGUGAUAUUUUCUUUCCUGUGGCCAAGAUUGCUUCAGUUUUCUCUUUUUAUCCAUGGCUGUGGUUUCUUCAUGGAGAUCUCGAAGAUGAGGUAUAUGUCGAGCAACCAUUUGGUUUUGUUGCUCGGGGGAGUCUAGCAGCAUGUGUGAAGUCUACGACGAGCACUUUAUGGCCUGAAGCAGUGUCCUCGAGCAUGGUUUGGGAAGUUUAGCAUGAUUAUUCAAGAGUUUGGCAUGCUCUUUCAGAUUAAGGAUCUUGGUCGAUUGAAGUACUUCUUGGGCAUUGAAGUUGCUCAAUCCAAAUCAGAAAUUGCCAUUUCACCAGGGAAGUAUGCACUUGAUAUUCUUGAAGAGAUAGGGAUGACGGAUGGCAAGCCUAUUGAUUCUCCAAUGGAUUCAAAUGUUAAACUUGUACCAAGUAGGGGGAGCCUUUUAGCGAUCCAGGAAGAUAUGGUAGGAAAGUUGAAUAUCUCAUAGUGACUCAACCCCUGAUGUUACCUUCCCGGUUGGUGUCGUCAGUCUGUUCUUGAAUUCUCCUUGUGAGUCAUUGGAUGCAGUUAUUCACAUUAUUCGAUACA